rnacentral:rRNA from 1 species
AAAUUGAAGAGUUUGAUCAUGGCUCAGAUUGAACGCUGGCGGCAGGCCUAACACAUGCAAGUCGAACGGUAACAGGAAGCAGCUUGCUGCUUUGCUGACGAGUGGCGGACGGGUGAGUAAUGUCUGGGAAACUGCCUGAUGGAGGGGGAUAACUACUGGAAACGGUGGCUAAUACCGCAUAACGUCGCAAGACCAAAGAGGGGGACCUUCGGGCCUCUUGCCAUCAGAUGUGCCCAGAUGGGAUUAGCUUGUUGGUGAGUUAACGGCUCACCAUGGCGACGAGCCCUAGGUG